ACCCGCUGAACUUAAGCAUAUCAAUAAGCGGAGGAAAAGAAACCAACAGGGAUUGCCCUAGUAACGGCGAGUGAAGCGGCAACAGCUCAAAUUUGAAAUCUGGCCCUAGUGGUCCGAAUUGUAAUUUGUAGAGGAUGCUUUGGGCGCGGUGCCUUCCGAGUUCCUUGGAACAGGACGCCUUAGAGGGUGAGAGCCCCGUACGGUUGGACACCAAGCCUAUGUAAAGCUCCUUCGACGAGUCGAGUAGUUUGGGAAUGCUGCUCUAAAUGGGAGGUAAAUUUCUUCUAAAGCUAAAUACCGGCCAGAGACCGAUAGCGCACAAGUAGAGUGAUCGAAAGAUGAAAAGUACUUUGAAAAGAGGGUUAAAUAGCACGUGAAAUUGUUGAAAGGGAAGCAUUUAUGGCCAGACCUUUGCUAGGUGGAUCAUCCGGUGUUCUUCACCGGUGCACUUCGCCUAGCUUAGGCCAGCAUCGAUUUCUGUAGGGGGAUAAAGGUCUAGGGAACGUAGCUCUCUUCGGAGAGUGUUAUAGCCCUGGGCGUAAUACCCUUACGGGGAUCGAGGUUCGCGCUCGGCAAGGAUGCUGGCAUAAUGGUCAUCAAUGACCCGUCUUGAAACACGGACC
rnacentral:rRNA from 1 species